CUUGUGGUUAAGGAACUCGGCAAAUUGCCCCCGUAACUUCGGGAGAAGGGGGGCCUCCGCUGGUGAUCAGACUUGCUUUGUGAGCUGGUGGGGGUCGCAGAGGCCAGGGGGAAGCGACUGUUUACUAAAAACACAGGUCCGUGCGAAGUCGUAAGACGAUGUAUACGGACUGACGCCUGCCCGGUGCUGGAACGUUAAGGGGACCGGUUAGCGCAUUUCGGUGUGCGAGGCUGAGAACUUAAGCGCCAGUAAACGGCGGUGGUAACUAUAACCAUCCUAAGGUAGCGAAAUUCCUUGUCGGGUAAGUUCCGACCUGCACGAAUGGCGUAACGACUUCCCCGCUGUCUCAACCGCAGACCCGGCGAAAUUGCACUACGAGUAAAGAUGCUCGUUACGCGCAGCAGGACGGAAAGACCCCGGGACCUUCACUACAGCUUGACAUUGGCGUUUGGAACUCUUGUGUAGGAUAGGUGGGAGACUGUGAAGCUGUCACGCUAGUGGCGGUGGAGUCAUUGGUGAAAUACCACUCUGGUCGUUUUGAACGUCUAACUUCGGUCCGUGAUCCGGAUCAGGGACAGUGUCUGGUGGGUAGUUUAACUGGGGCGGUUGCCUCCUAAAGAGUAACGGAGGCGCCCAAAGGUUCCCUCAGCCUGGUUGGUAAUCAGGUGUCGAGUGUAAGUGCACAAGGGAGCUUGACUGUGAGACCGACGGGUCGAGCAGGAGCGAAAGCUGGGACUAGUGAUCCGGCGGUGGCAUGUGGAAGCGCCGUCGCUCAACGGCUAAAAGGUACCCCGGGGAUAACAGGCUGAUCUUCCCCAAGAGUCCAUAUCGACGGGAUGGUUUGGCACCUCGAUGUCGGCUCGUCGCAUCCUGGGGCUGGAGUAGGUCCCAAGGGUUGGGCUGUUCGCCCAUUAAAGCGGUACGCGAGCUGGGUUUAGAACGUCGCGAGACAGUUCGGUCCCUAUCCGCUGCGCGCGCAGGAGACUUGAAAGGAGCUGUCCCUAGUACGAGAGGACCGGGACGGACGAACCUCUGGUGUGCCAGUUGUUCCGCCAGGAGCAUGGCUGGUUGGCUACGUUCGGAAGGGAUAACCGCUGAAAGCAUCUAAGCGGGAAGCUCGCCUUGAGAUGAGGUCUCCCACCACGAAAGUGGGUAAGGCCCCCGGGAGACGACCGGGUUGAUAGGCCGGAGGUGGAAGCAUGGUAACGUGUGGAGCUGACCGGUACUAAUAGGCCGAGGACUUGACC
rnacentral:rRNA from 1 species